GGGGAGGGGGGGCAAGCAUUGUUCAGAAUUACUGGGCGUAAAGGGCGCGUAGGCGGCCUGCCAAGUCAGGGGGUGAAAGGCCCGGGCUCAAACCCGGGAACUGCCCUUGAAACUGGCAAGCUAGAGUCCGAGAGAGGAUGGCGGAAUUCCCAGUGUAGAGGUGAAAUUCGUAGAUAUUGGGAAGAACACCGGUGGCGAAGGCGGCCAUCUGGCUCGGUACUGACGCUGAGGCGCGAAAGCGUGGGGAGCAAACAGGAUUAGAUACCCUGGUAGUCCACGCCGUAAACGAUGUGUGCUAGACGUUGGAGGUCUUAGGCCUUCGGUGUCGCAGCUAACGCGUUAAGCACACCGCCUGGGGAGUACGGCCGCAAGGUUA
rnacentral:rRNA from 1 species